rnacentral:rRNA from 1 species
CCUACGGGAGGCAGCAGUGAGGAAUAUUGGUCAAUGGUCGGGAGACUGAACCAGCCAAGCCGCGUGAGGGAUGAAGGUACAGAGUAUCGUAAACCUCUUUUGUCAGGGAACAAAGGCGGGGACGUGUCCCCGGAUGAGUGUACCUGAAGAAAAAGCAUCGGCUAACUCCGUGCCAGCAGCCGCGGUAAUACGGAGGCUGCGAGCUUUAUACGCAUUUUUUGGGUUAAAGGGGUGGGCAGGCGGAAGAUCAAGUCAACGGUAAAAGUGGGGGGCUCAACCUCUUCGAGCAGUUGAAACUGGUUUUCUUGAGUGAGCGAGAAGUAGGCGGAAUGCGUGGUGUAGCGGUGAAAUGCAUAGAUAUCACGCAGAACUCCGAUUGCGAAGGCAGCAUACCGGCGCUCAACUGACGCUCAUGCACGAAAGUGUGGGUAUCGAACAGGAUUAGAUACCCUUGUAGUC